rnacentral:rRNA from 1 species
CUACGGGAUGCUCCAGUGAGGAAUAUUGCACAAUGGGGGGAACCCUGAUGCAGCAACGCCGCGUGGAGGAUGACGCAUUUCGGUGUGUAAACUCCUUUUAUAUGUCAAGAAAAUGACGGUAGCAUAUGAAUAAGCACCGGCUAACUCCGUGCCAGCAGCCGCGGUAAUACAGAGGGUGCAAGCGUUACUCGGAAUCACUGGGCGUAAAGGACGCGUAGGCGGGUUGGAAAGUCAGGUGUGAAAUCCUACAGCUUAACUGUAGAACUGCACUUGAAACUUCUAAUCUAGAGUAUGGGAGGGGGAGAUGGAAUUAGUGGUGUAGGGGUAAAAUCCGUAGAUAUCACUAGGAAUACCUAAAGCGAAGGCGAUCUCCUGGAACAUUACUGACGCUAAGGCGUGAAAGCGUGGGGAGCAAACAGGAUUAGAUACCCUUGUAGUC